AUUACAGAGAAGAAAAAAACAUGGUUAGAAUUUUGGAUUUGAAUAUCUAUGCAUUAAAUAUCAAGUCAUUACUUAAAAUGUCAAUAAUACUAUUCCCUAGGGCUGAUGCAAGAGCACUGAAUAAGAUAAAUGUUAAAUCUGUAAGAAAGAAUAACACAAAUGCUCCCUAAUGUCAAUUCUUUUCUCCCAAGAUAGUUGUCCUCCCCCACUCCAAUCUGUAGGUUUAGCAGGUUGACCAAAAUGAUCCUUCCUUCAAGAUCUAAGGAAGAAAGGGCCUCCAAAGAGAAAUCUAGACAGUUUGAGAGCAAACAAUCCUCCUAGCCACCUAGUGUAGUUUAUUCCACUGUGUUAGAUUGGGCGUGCCUCCCGUGGCAGGGAGGUGGGCCAGCAGGAGGCUCUGUUAAGACUUGGCACCCUACACUAUCACACACUGCUUUAUUAGCAUUAGAAAUCACAGGGGAUGCUUGUUAAAAGGAAGCUUCAACACCCAGAGGGAGAUUCCCUAGGGCUCGGGUGGGGCCCAGGAAUCUGCCUUUUCAAUAGUCUCACCCCAUGUUCAGAGGCAGGUUUUAUGGAGAAGCUCUUGGAGAGACACUGUCGUUGUAGAAACAGAGUGCAGAGGAUUAACCAAAUUGCAAAUAACUUGAUCUUAAUUAUUGAUGUCAGGUUUAAGAUACUUAUCUUUUUAAAAUAGUUUAAUUCUACACGGGCCACAACAUAGUUUAGUUGUCCCACGUGGAUGGGGCCAGACUGGAAAAAAAAAUGGGCUUGGGCUCUUCUGCUUUCUUCUGCAGUUCUCCCCUACUAGCUCUGCCCUAUGUCCUUUAAAAGGCAGACAGACCUCCUUUCCUCCACUAACUUCAACCUUUUAAGAUCAGGGGAAGUUGCUUCCCCUCACGCUGAGAAAGAAACAGUCAUGCUGAGCCCUCCCAGCAGUCUCGGAGAGUUACACCUAAUAAUUUACCUAGGGUAAAACCUACGAGUGAGAACUGACCUGUAGACUCAUCUGGACUUGCACUGCUUUUGGAGAAACUGGCAGCUGUCCCCACUUUUGGAUUUAAUACCAUAAGACAAUUUCAGACUAAGUUUGAGGCCCCCCACAAAGGAAGAAAUACUGCUUUAGGAGGCAGAAGAGUUGUGAUCAUCACUUCAAUAUGAAGCUGGCUUCUGUCUGGAGUCUUCUGGAAACCAGCUAUCAUGUACGUGCAGUAGGCCUCAACAUGCUUGCAUCCUGGAGAAACCAGUUCAGUUUCCUUGUUUUUAAAUGCUGCCAAGAUUGACAUAGCUAUACGAAAGGAUGAAAAAAGUUGGAUGAUGCCAAGAUAGUUUUAGAUUUUUAUAUGUAAAAAUGGAGGAAAGCCUGGUUAUCCUGGGAGAGCUGUUUCAAAUAAAAGUGCUUCCUGCCAUGUGUCAUUCACUAGACCUUGCCAGAAGUUAGAAGAGUAUUUAAGAGACGAAGGGAGCAAGACAAGAGGAUGUGAAGCAAAAAAACCUUCUGAGCUAAAAGCUUGAAGCUGGGAAAGAAAAGACAACUACAAAUAAGUAAGCUAAAUAUUUUUGAUCAUCCUGUUGGAUUUAAAUCAGUCUGCAUAACGGUAAGUAGUAUUAUCAUUAGGCCAGCCUGCAUAUUCUAAUAAGAUUUUUCCAAAGAUACUUAGAAGCAAAAAAAGAUCCAGAAACCACAUUUUAAAUUGCUUUUAAAUGAAGUAAUAGUAAAUAUAUGUUUCC